AUGAUCGUCUGCGUCGCCGUCGUCGGCCACCAGAACAACCCGCUGUACCUGCAGAGCUUCACGGAGGCGGACGACGCCCUCAAGCUCCACCACGUCGUCCACUGCUCCCUCGACGUCAUCGACGAGCGAGUGAACAAUCCUAAAAAGAGUGCACCUACACUGAACGAGACAUUUUUGGGUCUUCUAUAUCCGACUGAGAACUACAAAGUGUAUGGCUAUUUGACAAACACAAAGGUCAAAUUUUUAAUGGUUACAACUGAUCUUGAUGUGAAAGAUGCGGAUGCCCGAAAUUUUUUCAGGAAGUUCCACGCCGCAUACGUGGAUGCCGUCUCGAACCCCUUCCAUGUCCCAGGGAAGAAGAUCGCCUCGAGAAGCUUCGGCGCGAGAGUGAGCACCAUAGUGAAAUCCUUCGGCUCGGGGACUGUCGGUUAA
rnacentral:rRNA from 1 species